AGUAAGGUCAGCUAAACAAGCUAUCGGGCCCAUACCCCAAAAAUGCCUAAACCGGCCCUUACUA
rnacentral:tRNA from 1 species